GGGGCUGAUUCUGGAUUCGACGGGAUUUGCGAAACCCAAGGUGCAUGCCGAGGGGCGGUUGGCCUCGUAAAAAGCCGCAAAAAAAUAGUCGCAAACGACGAAAACUACGCUUUAGCAGCUUAAUAACCUGCUUAGAGCCCUCUCUCCCUAGCCUCCGCUCUUAGGACGGGGAUCAAGAGAGGUCAAACCCAAAAGAGAUCGCGUGGAUGCCCUGCCUGGGGUUGAAGCGUUAAAACGAAUCAGGCUAGUCUGGUAGUGGCGUGUCCGUCCGCAGGUGCCAGGCGAAUGUAAAGACUGACUAAGCAUGUAGUACCGAG
rnacentral:tmRNA from 1 species